rnacentral:rRNA from 1 species
UGGGGAAUAUUGGACAAUGGGGGCAACCCUGAUCCAGCCAUGCCGCGUGAGUGAUGAAGGCCUUCGGGUUGUAAAGCUCUUUUGGCGGGGACGAUGAUGACGGUACCCGCAGAAUAAGCCCCGGCUAACUUCGUGCCAGCAGCCGCGGUAAGACGAAGGGGGCUAGCGUUGUUCGGAAUUACUGGGCGUAAAGCGAGUGUAGGCGGUUGCCGUAGUCAGGUGUGAAAGCCUUGAGCUCAACUCAAGAAAUGCACUUGAUACUGGGUGACUAGAGGACCGGAGAGGAUAGUGGAAUUCCCAGUGUAGUGGUGAAAUACGUAGAGAUUGGGAAGAACACCAGUGGCGAAGGCGGCUAUCUGGACGGUUACUGACGCUAAGACUCGAAAGCGUGGGGAGCAAACAGGAUUAGAUACCCUGGUAGUCCACGCCGUAAACGAUGGGUGCUAGACGUUGGCGAGCUUGCUCGUCAGUGUCGCAGCUAACGCGUUAAGCACCCCGCCUGGGGAGUACGGCCGCAAGGUUGAAACUCAAAUGAAUUGACGGGGUCAUAGCUGUUUUCCU